GCAGGUUGUGGACGUAUAUAGGCGACUCGCACUGUGUCUUUAAAGCCCUCUGCCGGGUGAUUGGAAGCCGUCUGCAUGUGCGCAGGAAUGACGCAAAAUUGACUUCAUCUCAAGAACGCGUCACGAUGUCAUUUCAACAUGGAAAAAAAGGAAGAGGGGGAAAAAGCUGGGGAACUAUGGAGAGAGGAUCUCUGCCUGAAUAAUAGGUCACUUUAUUUAAAAGAAUCAUGAAUCAAACAGGUCUUUGUCAUCUAUGGAUCAUCUCCAGGAGGCAGCGGGCCUCCACAACUGGGAGUGAAUGGAUGUCAAACAGAGAUGAACCAGUUUUGGAUAAACGUGUUCUACUGCAGAUGUGAACAGGAGUGAAUGACAGCGAGAAGAUGGCUGUGUGUCAAUUACCUGGAGAAGAGAUGGCAGCAGGACGCACUGAGGGAAGAGAUCAAGCCGGUGUAGGAAACGUGAUGCCCUGGACAAUGUUCUGUUGGACAACACUGGGUCCUGGAAUUCAUCAGGUGAACACUAUUUUGACACCACUUACCUAAACACUAUCGCAGACUAUUACAUUCCUUCUUUGCCGUUGUGUUCCCUGAUACCAGUGACCUCUUUCAGCAAGAUAAUGCUUCCUACUAUGCAUCAAAAACUGUUCAGAAAUGGUUUGAAGAGUAGAGUUCAAGGUGUUGACUUGGUGUCCACAUUCUUCUUAUCUGAAACGGAUUGAGCAUCUGUUGGAUGUGCUAGAAAAACCAACCGUAGAGGUCUCACCUUGCAGUUUACAGGACUUGAAGGACCUGUUGCUAACAUCUUGGUGUUAAAACCGCAGGACACGCCUCAUUAAAAGACAUAAUUUGAGUGGUCAGAGCUGUUUUGGUAUCACAAGGUGGAUUUUUUUAGGUGGUUUUAAUGUUCUGGCUGAUGAGUGGUCUAAGAAAAGUAAGAGAUCAGGUCACCAACAGAUGUCAGUGUUGGUCUGAUGAAAUUUUACUGACCUCUCCUGAACAUUAUGUUUCUUUCAGUAUAUCUCUCUAAGACAAAUCUCCCAAUAAGCACCCAAGAAGCACAUGCUUAGGUAUAAGUUUAGUUAUUCAUAUUCUUUCUAUUCAGGAAGCCACAAUGAUUUUACAAAGCCUCCGUCUCUCUUCUCAUGCUUCUUGGAGAUAAAGAUUUAAUAAAUAGAGGCUAUUGACUUCAUGCUUUCAUCUGUUUUAAACAACCUCGUCUUUGCUGGUUCACAUCUAUUCUCAGUAAUAUUGUACGUUUCACUAUGAACAAUGUACGGAUACGUUUCUCAAAACCUCUGCACCAUCUGCAGUCACUUUCACUUCUAUAUAUAUUUAACACUUCACAUUGCAGGUGCGCACCAAGGUCCUAUUUGGAAGCAACAUACACUGACUCUUUAUAGGAAAUGUGAAUUGCUUAAAUUUGCUGUCUUGAUGAAAAGUUUAUUUCACUGGAAUUUCCUGUAGUGACUGUGUGGGUUGAGAUUGCAGCUCCUAACUGCCAUGGGAAGAGCAGAUAUGGCUGUGAUAUGAAAUGAUUUAGUGCUACAAUCUAAACCACUGCUGGUUGGCUGCAGCACAGGUCACCACACACUCUGGGUGUGUAAUCUAUCUCUGGUGAACCUCACACAGGAUAUGCCAACACACACUUUAAACCCGCUGAAUGCCUUCCUUUCUCAAAAUCUGCUUUAUACUUUGCAAUCUGAGUCACAGGGGAGGGUUGUGGUGAUUUGUGUUUGUGAUUUUCACAGCAAUGUCAAGUAUUUAUCACUGUGUUGGAGUACCAUGCUCGAGCAGAACAUGGAAGCCUUCCUGUUGUUACUACAAUAUAUGGCACUUGACUGUGUGACAGUCAAGAAAGGCCACUGGAAUUCUGCAUGUCCACCCUUCAGAGAUUUGUAGACUAGUUUAUGCUAGCAGGGAACAUUAUCUUGGCCAGAGUCAGGGUACACAGGAUUCUCACAUGAUGAACAUUUUCUUAAUACCAGGUCUGCUUCUCAACCAAAGAGCCCUGGAGCUCAAGGCUUAGAAUUUAAACAAGGGAAGAAGGCCAAAGAAUCAGGAGGAAGGCAAAGUAAACAGGAAUCAUCAUUUAUUUAGAUAUUUACUAAAUGUGUGCUCAGUGUUAAUCUCUGAGCACACAUUUCUUUCCUGAAAAAAACAUAUGCAAAGUUGAUUUUCUUCGCACUUGUAACUGCCCUUUGUUCACAUCUGUGUUUCACUGGAUUUCUGUCUGACUUUGCUGGUGCACUUUUGCUGUGUUUGUUGGCAUAUUACUGCCACCAACUGUCGAUCAGUGCAAUAGCAUGAAGCCAUCUGUGUGACUUGUAGCUACCACAUGCAUGGGCAUCAUUGUUGGUAUGCAUACUACAAGCACUUUUAAAAAAAUGCUUGGAGACUUUCCUUUUUAUGGAGGCUUUAAACUUACCUACAGGAUUCCUUUUUAAAAUUGUUUCUUUUUACUGUGUGUUUGUAGCACUUUGCGAUUUCUUUAAAUGACAAGUGCUUUGUACAUUAAAUGUAUUAUUUUUAUUACAAGCGAAAAGGCUAACGGUUCUGUCUGUAUCAUGCACACUGCUCCAUAGCGAUGCUAAUGGUCAUAAAUUCCACAGGGGACCUUUGUCUUGUAAAUUGUGGUGUCAGAAAGCAGUUGGAGGACUGUAACAGGUAAUCAGUUGUGGUAAAUCUUAGAAUUAAUCGAGAUUAGAAGUAAAAUUAAUUAAUGAAGAUGCCCCCUACACACAACCCAUUGAGUUAUUGUUUGUCGGCUGAUUUUAUAGCGUGUCAUAUCGGUAUGAGGAACUCUACCUUUUGCGAAAUAUCAAACACAUAUACAGCUCUGAAAUAUAUCACACAAUCUCUACUGACUAAUUUUCCUCUUAC